rnacentral:rRNA from 1 species
UACGGAAGGCAGCAGUGGGGAAUAUUGCACAAUGGGCGAAAGCCUGAUGCAGCUAUGCCGCGUGUAUGAAGAAGGCCUUAGGGUUGUAAAGUACUUUCAUCGGGGAGGAAAAAACAAAACUAAUAAUUUUAUUUCUUGACGUUACCCGAAAAAGAAGCACCGGCUAACUCCGUGCCAGCAGCCGCGGUAAUACGGAGGGUGCUAGCGUUAAUCAGAAUUACUGGGCGUAAAGAGCACGUAGGUGGUUUUUUUAAGUCAGAUGUGAAAUCCCUGGGCUUAACCUGGAACUGCAUUUUGAAACUGAAAUACUAGAGUAUCGUAGAGGGAGGUAGAAUUCUAGGUGUAGCGGUGAAAUGCGUAGAUAUCUGGAGGAAUACCUGUGGCGAAAGCGGCCUCCUAAACGAAUACUGACACUGAGGUGCGAAAGCGUGGGGAGCAAACAGGGAUUAGAUACC